UGAGAAUUGCUAAAGAUCAGACGUAUUCAAGUACUUGCCCACAAAUAAUCAGCCCUGCGACUGCUCCUUGGCAGUCCAGUCUAUCUUGAACUGCGCCUGAUAUCACCAAAACCAGAUGCGGUAAUCCUUGUCAACUACUGUGUAGCUUACCCUCGCUCUGCAAGGAAUGCCUGGUGCUUAUUUAUGAAGGGUGUCCCAACCUUUAUGCUCCAAAUGUGUCCCUCCUUAAAAUCAUUGACUGCAAAAAUCGUCAUCAGAGGCGGUUUGUGGUUGAAGCCUUCCAGUUUAUGGUUCAAAAGACAAACAAAUACCUUGAUGAAGAAAUCUAUUUCAUGUGCUCUACAGAAGGUGUUUACCAGCAGAUAGGC